CUUGGUCAUUUAGAGGAAGUAAAAGUCGUAACAAGGUUUCCGUAGGUGAACCUGCGGAAGGAUCAUUAUUGAAUUUUGAAUGGGGUUGUAGCUGGCCUUUCAAAGGGCAUGUGCACGCCUCGCUUCAAUCCACUUACCCCUGUGAACACUCUGUAGGUCGGCUCAAGGGACAAAUUCUUAACGGGGUUUGUUUUGGGCCUUCCUAUGUUUUAUUACAAACGUUUAAAGUCUAAAGAAUGUACUCGCGUCUAACGCAUUAUAUACAACUUUCAGCAACGGAUCUCUUGGCUCUCGCAUCGAUGAAGAACGCAGCGAAAUGCGAUAAGUAAUGUGAAUUGCAGAAUUCAGUGAAUCAUCGAAUCUUUGAACGCACCUUGCGCUCCUUGGUAUUCCGAGGAGCAUGCCUGUUUGAGUGUCAUGGAAUUAUCAACUUGUUUAUCUUUGUAUGAACGCAGUUGGAUUUGGAGGCCAUUGCCGGAUUGUAAUGACUCGGCUCCUCUUGAAUGCAUUAGCUCGAACCUUUGCGGAUCAGCUUUUGGUGUGAUAAUUGUCUACGCCGCUAACUGAGACACAUGAAUGGGAUCGGCUUACAGUCGUCCUUGAACGGACAAUUUAUUAUGACUUCUGACCUCAAAUCAGGUAGGAUUACCCGCUGAACUUAAGCAUAUCAAUAAGCGGAGGA
rnacentral:rRNA from 1 species